rnacentral:rRNA from 1 species
UACGGGGGGGGCAAGCGUUGUUCGGAAUUACUGGGCGUAAAGGGCUCGUAGGUGGCCAACUAAGUCAGACGUGAAAUCCCUCGGCUUAACCGGGGAACUGCGUCUGAUACUGGAUGGCUUGAAUCCGGGAGAGGGAUGCGGAAUUCCAGGUGUAGCGGUGAAAUGCGUAGAUAUCUGGAGGAACACCGGUGGCGAAGGCGGCAUCCUGGACCGGCAUUGACGCUGAGACGCGAAAGC